UGAUCUUGGACUCAGUGAUGGGAGGGUUCACUAUCAGUGUCAUAGUGAAUGAUGGGUAAGUGCCCUCAGGAUGUUAUCGGCAAUAAAGCUCUAUUCUCACUGUGUCAUUGAGGCUGUGCUUUUUUGUCCUUUAAUCUUAAUUUUAAAACAUUCACAUAAUACUUUUUCUUUGUUGUUCAACUUCCUGUUUCCCUCCGUGUGUGGGUGGGCGUCAGACCUCCUCACUCACUUCCGCUUUUGGGAAUUUCGACACCAUGCGCAGGAUCAAAGUGGCCCAGAACACGUGCAGCGCUUGCAGGAUCAUCAACAAGACGUUAAAGAAGUAGUAGCCAAAAAAAGGCUGGAAGGUCUCCAUGGACAGCACCAGGGUGGUGUGGAUGAUUCUGCCGACAAGCAGGUCCCAGAACCAGGGCCUCUGGGAAAAAAAAAAAAAGAAAGAAUUCCAGUGAUGAAAAAAAAAAAGGCUGAAGCCGUUUCUGGCUUUACUCACGUCAAUCAAACACAGGAGUCCGCCCAUGAAGGACGUGAGGUAGAAGAAAAACCUCCACCUGGACAGAAGAGGUCAGUAAGGUCAGACGUGCCUCACCCUGACGGUGUCGCUCACUAGAGGAUUUGCAGUGACCUACGCUGCUUCACUGAACUUCUUGGUCUGCGAGGGUCGGUCUUGAGACCUGCGCAGUCGGAACCAGGUCUCAAUCUGUCGCUGGCUUUUUCCACUGAGUUCCAUUAAACUGGCUAUUUGACUCUGGAAACCAAAAACAUGCGGAGUGACCACACAGAUAUGCUUGGCUAAAGUCAGUCAUCGUGUCAGAUUGUUCUAUGAUUUCACACGCUGCACUUCUUACAGUGUGUUCCGAAGCAUCCAUUGUUCGGCUCUUCUCUUAAAUCACUUUGAUUUACGCUCCACCAUGAAAGGCUCUUCAUAAAUAUGUUUGAUGGAUCGAGUGACUUUAAACUCACGAGGUACAAUCAAAGCAAACCACAGGCUGCAACUCCCUUCAGCCCAAACAAGAUUCGUGGGAGAUUUCUCCGCCCCCUGCUGGGAUUACCUGCGUGGGAUGCCUGCUCUGCCCAGUGUAAAAGGACUCCAGCUUUGGGGAGGGGGCCACAGCCCUCACAGGUCUAUUCUUCACCCCCAAACAUCUGCCCAUGGGCGGGGCGCAGCACCUGUGGGUCAGAGACAAACAAAAGGGCAGUGUGUUUGGUCUCAUGAUGGCUGGAGGGCCUCAUCUUACAGGCCCGCCUGAGGGCAAAGUAUAUUGGUCUGUCGCCGACACGGUGGAGCCACAAGAUUCAAUAAAAAGAACGCCUCGACUUUAAUGAUGAGAUAUUUAUUCUGGCGGAAAGGCCCGGUUUUGCCUCUCGUACCUCUCAAACAUGCAUCUGAGCACCAGAAAUCCCAGAGCGAGUGGCAGACUCAUGAGAAGAUCCAGAGGCUGUGGUCGGCUGGAGUCAGAAAGCUUGUCCAUGUCUUCCCAUGUGACACCAGGAGGAAGCCAGUAGUCUUGUUUCCAAAUGUCAGGCAGCAGGUCCAUUUGCUCUGCGGGAGGAAAUUGGAGUUAGAACACGUGAAAUUGAAUAAAAACCACACUUGAUAAAAAGAUGUCACAGUUUAGAGAUUGAUUUGCUGGAAAAUAGGUCAAUAACAGAGUUAUGAUUUAGUAGAACUGAGUAAAAUACAAUAUAAUCCACCCAAAUAAUACACAAUAUAAUCCAAAACAUAUUUCACUGAAGCUUUCAGUGAAAUACAGGCUAACUUAACCGUCAGUUAAUUUGCAUAUAUGUUGGUUAACAUUGCACCAUUGACUUUCAGUGAGAUACAAGGUCACAUGACCUGGUCAAAACAGGUAGAAACCGAACAAUUUGACUUAUAAAAACACAUCACACAAUCAAAUCACUGCAAUAAAUCAACUUUAACAGAGACAAAAUUCAGCAACAUUUUUGAUGCUUUUCUCAUUCACUUCCUGAGCACAGCAUCUUCUUCAGGUCUCCUUUGUGUCUGCGUUAUCGAAGCGCUGCGAUGCUACCGCCACCUGCUGGCCAAUUGCACUCACUGCUGAAUAUUAUGAGCUCAAAAUAUGUGGAUAAAAUCUGUGAAAUUCCGUUUUUAAAAAAUCACAGUGUGGAUGGAAGUGAGCUGUUUGGUGAAUGUAUGCACUGUCCGGGUGCCUUCCUAGUUCUGGCUAACAACGCGGCGUCUGCUUCAAUGCUUGAAUGAAGAAGCAGAUGGAUGUUUGGAAGAGAACUGAGACAGAAUGAGGCAAAGCUCAACCACCAAGAAAUUAAUGGGAAAAAAGGUGGCAGUGAAUGAAGACAGACUUGGCUGAGAAGUACGAACUAGAUCCCACUAAAAUAUCAGCGAGAAUGUGGGACACAAAGUUUCGAUCCAAUUCCGAUGAUGUUCAAAUGAGGCAAAAUGAAGGUGCACAGGAAAGUGUGGCGUGGUCGCGAUGAAGGACCUAACCAGAGUCUUCAUGGACCAUGGCUUCACGUCCAACAGUUGGGGAGACUUGAGCUACGUGUAGAUGCUGGACUUGCUGGUACUUUUGGCAGCAUCAAGAAAAACUACUUUUGAGGUCUUUUUUUGGAUUCAAUUUUGGCAAAUAAACGUGCACUAACUGUACUACUACCUUGAGCUUAUGAGCAUUAAAAGGCUGACUAUUUCUGAGCCGUAAACACAGACGUCUUCCACAUUCCAUCCAACAGGCUUGUAAAGGCUUCGCCGUCAACUGUCGCACAAUGAGCCCUAAAACCCACCUUUAGACUCAUCGACCCAAACCGGGGUUAUAAAGUCAAUACAUAAAAGUGUAAGUGUCAUA